rnacentral:rRNA from 1 species
GGGCUUGACAUCCCACGAACCUGCGCAGUGUUCCUUCCCUUCGGUGGCCCGUUGGAUUGGGGCUGCUUGACGGUCCUCCCUUCGUGUCGUGAGAUGUUGGGUUAGUCCCCGAGCAAGCUAAACCGCUGCGUGUUUCUGCCGUCGAUUAAUUGGUGAUUCUAAGGGGAUUGCCGAGGUUAAACCGGAUGAAGGCGGGGAGUAAGGCGACUUCUCAUGGCCUUUAUGUGCCGCUGCUCCACGUGCUAUCAUGGGCGGGUUCCAGGGCUGACGACCGUUAGGUGAAGCAUAUCCCACUCCACCGCUCUCAGUUCCGAUCUCACUCUGCUUCUCGACUCCUUGAGGGUGGAAUCGCUAGGACCCGCGGAUUUCCAUGCCACGGAGAAUACCUUCCCGGGCCUUGUAGACGCCGUCCGUCUCACCACGAAUCUCAGCUGUAUCCGAAGUCGCUGAG